UAAAACGCCCUUGUAUUCUUUCAUUAACUACUGCUUUGCCCCUGACCUCAGAUCGUGACUUUGCUUCCCUUCUUGGAUCCCUCCUUCGUGCUUUCCUUUUUUUUUCCUUUCACCCCUGGUUCUUGGAAUCUUGGAUCAAACCCUAACUAUUGAUCCAUCUCCUCCACCCCCAUUUUCUCCCUCCACUCUCUUCUUCUUCGAUUUCCGCCCCUCUCUUCCCUUUUCCUCAUCUCUCCUGCAAUUAAUACUCCAUAGACUUGGUGAAGCUUUUCGUGUUCCACAAAAAUGGUGUCUGGUGGAUCGAUAGUGCCGCAUCAACUUCACUUUCCGAAGCUCUCUUGCCUUUCCAUCUUCAUUUUCGCUCUUCUAAUGAUAUCUCCCCUUAAUGGCAUGUACAAGAGAUUACAAGACUGUAACCAUAGUUUGCGGCAGUAUAAUAACAAACUUCAAACGGAGCUUUCUACAGCCAAUGAGACCUUGAAACGCUUUGAGUGAGAAAGAUGCUGUAGUGGGGAAAGUACAGCUCAUUGCAGGAUCAGUUGCCGUCAUCCAUGAUAUCUCCCCUUAAUGACAUGUACAAGAGAUUACAGGACUGUAACCAUAGUUUGCGGCAGUAUAAUAACAAACUUCAAACGGAGCUUUCUACAGCCAAUGAGACCUUGAAACGCGUUGAGUGAGAAAGAUGCUGUAGUCGAAAACCUCAACACCUUGAGGGGGAAAGUACAGUUCAUUGCAGGAUCAGUUGCCGUCAUCCAUGGAUGCUGAUACUCAACCUUCACUGGUAAUAGUAUACUUCGGAGGUAAUGAUUCAAUGGGAACCCACCCGUCAGGUCCAGGCCCUCAGGUGCCACUUCCAGAAUAUGUUGAGAACAUGAGAAAGAUUGGCACUGAUAUUAAGGGUCUUUCAGAUACAACUCGAAUUAUUUUCCUAAGCAGUCAUCCGGUGAAUGAAGACCGUAUUAGGGAAACCAGAAGUAUAUAUCUAUCGGAUCUAAUUCGAACGAAUGAGCAAUGUCAAAAGUAUUCUGAAGCUCUGAUAGAACUGUGCAAGGAAAUGGAUAUGAAAGUGGUUGAUCUUUACACUGCAAUCCAGAGGAAGGAUGACUGGUUGACAACUUGUUUUACUAUCGGAGAGGACAGCGAUAAGGGCUGCAUCUAAAACUCUGAUGGAUACGGAGGCUAUAGAUUCAUUCAAGCAAACACAACACCUGCUAUUAGGAAGGUUGCAAGAUAGCAAUGCAGUGCUUUCACAUGUUGAUCAAUGAAUACUUAGACAAUUGCUAAGCAGAUGUCAUGACUGAGUUUUCAAAAAAUACACGUCUUUUGAAAUCAAAGAAGUGAGUGACCUUGACUACAUAUUUCUCAAGUUGAGAAACAUCAAGUCCAAGAUUUUCGCCACUUAUCCUGAUGCGUUUCCAAAUGAAUCCUUGGAAGUUGUUGACACCAGACCAGACCUUGAGGUACCUGUGUGUGAUAUGAGUUCACAAGAUCAUGCAAGUCCGACAGAAUCCCAUCAACCACCAUCUGUAUAAUAAUACAUCUUUCUGAACAUCAGUUCGAGUUUGUACUUUUAAACCUUGUUGAGCAAGCAACUGAGAACAGGCUUGUUCACCGUGGAAAUAUAUAUUGCUCAGUUCCUCAUGGCAUCAAUGACCACACUCGCUGGUCUAGCUUUGGCUGCAGAAUCGGCUAAACUUGGAUUAAAAGUUGGCUUCUUGGUUUCAUAUAUUGAGUUCCCUUGGCUGGCUGGAAAUCUGCAGCCCAUCCCAAACCAGAAAAUUCAUUGGAGAUCUCUAGAAGGUCUUCCAAACAGUGGUGCUGUUUGAUUUUACCCAAGAGGUACUUCGUCAUGUCUUGUAGAACUUCUAAAGAAUAUUAGAGUGCAGAAUCUUCAGCAUUUGGAAUUAGUGCAGCCUUUUCGUAUGUUAUCAUUUCCUGCUGAUUACGGGAGAUGAAUGUGGCAUGAUGGUCGGACUGCUGUUACUGCAGAUGGGAAGCGCAGUGCUCAGUUAUGAGCAUACUUUACUGAAAAAGAAGUUGACACUAUAAGAGUAUAAGCUCGUAUUAAAGUUUAUCCAGCUCUUAUUCGGUACACCUGAAAACGUGAACUCUUAGGCUUUUCAGAUGGAUGGACUUAUUCCUGUUUAGUGCUGAAGGGUUCCAAAAGGAAAUUAGUUGUUCUGGGUGUGACAGAGAACGUUUGUGUUGGCACUCCUUGUGUGCGAGUUAAAAUAAUGUAACACAUUUAUUUGGUAGGGCAAAGCGGUUGGGUGCUGAUCGAGCUCAAGUGAUGUUGGCAGAUUACACUGGUCCUCAGUACGAAACAGAGACACGAGUGACGGCAUCGAUUGUGAAAUUUUCUUAGUAUCCUAAUCCUGCUGCAUCCUCCAUAUCAAAAAGAAUCAUGGUGGAAGUUAACAGUUGAAUGAUUAAAUCUCUUAAAUGUUUCGAUUUGUUUAGGUUGAAAUGAGUUUGUCUAAUUUUGUGUUUUUCAAGAUUUGUUGAAUUAUUGUAUGUAUAUAAUUUAUUGAUAAUGGUUAGUGUUAAGAGUGAUACAUGUAUGGGUUUCACUUGAUACUACGAUGAAAAAUAGUUUGGUUGAAAUACAACGCAUAAAAUGGUUGUUAAACUAA